rnacentral:misc_RNA from 1 species
UAUGAAGAACGUAGCGAAAUGCGAUAAGUAAUAUGAAUUGCAGAAUUCAGUGAAUCAUCGAAUCUUUGAACGCACAUUGCGCCCUCUGGUAUUCCGGGGGGCAUGCCUGUUCGAGCGUCAUUAUAACCACUCAAGCUCUCGCUUGGUAUUGGGGUUCGCGGUUCCGCGGCCCCUAAAAUCAGUGGCGGUGCUUGUCGGCUCUACGCGUAGUAAUACUCCUCGCGAUUGAGUCCGGUAGGUCUACUUGCCAGCAACCCCCAAUUUUUACAGGUUGACCUCGGAUCAGGUAGGGAUACCCGCUGAACUUAAGCAUAUCAAUAAGCGGAGGA